rnacentral:rRNA from 1 species
AUGGACGCCGGCAUUCUCGAUGAUGUGAUGCGGGUCCGCAAGGCACCGGGCGGCGCGGAUCUGUCGCCUGGAGGUCGUCUGAUGUUGAUGUUUUGUGCUUUCGUUCAACAGAUGAAGAUCAGUGUCAGGGUACACAACGGCAUGAGCAGGUGCCACUCUCUUGAGGUUGCGGAAUCAGACCUGAUUUACAAUGUGAAGGCUAAGUUGAAGGCGGAGGUCUUGUUUAUAGACGAUGCCAUAAUAGAGUAUGGCAGUAAGACGCUGGCGGACAGCUGUGCCCUGAAGGAUCUGCACAUCCAGGAGGGGGCCCAAUUUGAAGUCCGAUAUCCGAACCUAAUCUUUGUGAAGACACCGACUGGCAGAACAACUCGGUUAUUGAUUGAUGAUCACUUUUCAGACACUACCAUAUACAGUCUAAAGGAGAAGAUAGCCAAUGAAAUCGGAGUUGCCCCAGAUGAGCAGCGCCUCAUCCAUGCUGGGAGGCAGGUGGAGGACGACCGCACCUUUGCUGACUACUACAUACAGCAUGGGUCUAUCCUUCAUGUUUUGGUGAGACCCCGUGAAGCCAAAGCCCAGAUCUUUGUGCGGACGUUAACUGGCAGCAAGACGAUGAAUUUUUGGAUUGAUCAUCACUUUUCAGGCACCACCAUACGUAGUCUAAAGGAGAUGAUAGCCGAUGAAAUCGGAGUUGCUCCAGAUGAGCAGCGCCUCCUCCUUGCUGGGAAGCAGGUGGAGGACCACCGCACCUUUGCUGACUACCGCAUACGACCAGAGUCUAUCCUUCAUGUUGUGUUGAGCUUGAAACCAAAUGUUGACAAUCCCCGAAUAAAAAAGAAAAGGAAACUCAGUCGUGAGGAAUGCGAGCAACUGAUCCGAAGCCGAAGCCACGGUUCAGCUUGUUGA